rnacentral:rRNA from 1 species
GACGAACGCUGGCGGCGUGCUUAACACAUGCAAGUCGAACGGAAAGGCCCUGCUUUUGUGGGGUGCUCGAGUGGCGAACGGGUGAGUAACACGUGAGUAACCUGCCCUGGACUUUAGGAUAACUUCAGGAAACUGGGGCUAAUACCGGAUAGGAGCUCCUGCUGCAUGGUGGGCGUUGGAAAGCUUCGGCGGUUGGGGAUGGACUCGCGGCUUAUCAGCUUGUUGGUGGGGUAGUGGCUUACCAAGGCUUUGACGGGUAGCCGGCCUGAGAGGGUGACCGGCCACAUUGGGACUGAGAUACGGCCGAGACUCCUACGGGAGGCAAGAGUGGGGAAUAUUGCGCAAUCGACGCAAGCCUGAUGCAGCAACGCCGCGUGAGGGAAGACGGCCUUCGGGUUGUAAAACUCUUUCGCCUGUAACGAAGCGUGGAGGACGGUAAUGGGUAAAAAAGCACCGGCUAACUACGUG